UCCAAAGCCAGGAGGAGGAGGAGGCGGCGUCCCUCCCUCGCCGCCCGCCAGUCCGGCCAGACGCCUCGUCUCUGUCGGCGGCGGCGGCGGCGGCGGCGGCUUGCCUUUCUCCCCUCAGAGCCGCCAUUUCGGGCCCCUUUCCCCGAGAGCAGAGAACGUGGAGUCUGUCCGGCGUUGGAGCCUCGAGGAAGGCGGCUCUCUUCAGGCCUCGCUUCGUUGCUGCUGUUAGGGUUUAUUUAUAGAGCGCCGGACGAUUGUUAUUUGGUUUGGUUUUCAUCUGUUUGUUUGUAUAUUUUUGUUGAAUGAAUGAUAAUUGUGUUUCAGGCCCAGCUCUUCACCUGAAAGGAAGGAACGAGGCCCUUGGCACCGUCCUCCGAUCCAUCCUCCGUCCGAUUGCGUUCUAAUGGCAUCUUGUUAUGAAUCUCCCCAGUUCAAGCGGCGGAAGGACGGAGGGUCUUGCCGGGAGCCCUCUCCCCAAAAGCGAAGCUGAGCCUGAGAGCCAAUGGCCCAGACCGGGAGCCCCUUCCAGCCUCCUGGCUCCAGACCCAAGUCGUCCUGCCAGGCCUGGCCAGGGAGGAGGGAGCCCCGCUCCCCCAGCCGCCUUCCAGCCUUGCUGUGCCACAAGGAGCCAUGCCUUUCGGGGGAGAGAGACGCUUGGCUGGCAGAGGAGCCUUAGGGCACUGGACCUCCCUAUAAGAAGGGAAGGAAGCUGGGACUGGACCCAUCAAGCCCAGAUCCUGAUACCCAAAAGGCCUGGAGUUCCCCUCCUUUCCAGGCAAGGGCUGCUCCUUAAAACGUCCCCAAAACAGAGAGGGAGAAUGUCACCAAAAAUAAAAGGUUGGAGAGGCUGUAAAGGCAGAGGAACCAAUGCCUCAGAUCUGCCCAUUCCCUUCAGUCCAACAAACCAGUCUUCUCUGGGAUAACAGCAAAGCUUCAUUUCAGCAACCAAAGGAAGUUAGCAGCUUGCGUAGUACAUACAAAGCAAUACCCCUUUCCCAGGGUUUGCAGGUUUCCUCCCCGUUUGCCCAGUCCCCAAACGUUCGCACAUCCAGGCCUGCUCUCUCCUGCCGCCGCCGCCGCCGCCGCCCUUCUUUCGGACCCUGCCAUUCCUUCCCAUGAGACCUGGCUACAGCGAGUGCCAUACAUUGGUCCUUGUCCAGCCAGCGUUCUUUCCCCUCCCUGCCAUGGACAAGCACAACAUGCCCCACCAUAGGCUACUGCAUAGCCCCCUCAUAGUCAUACAUGAUCUGAAUGCUGCUCAUUGCGUAAACAUGAAAUCAAAAACAACAACAGCCAGAUACAGAAACCAGUAGCAUAACAGAAGGAAGGAAGGAAGCAAUAACUCUUUAUGGCAGGAACUGCUGGGAAUAUGGACACUGUGUGCAGAUGUGGGUUUCUGCUCCUUUUUGGAUGACAGCCAUUUCUACAAUCCCUGUCCUAGACUCUUAUUAUAAUCUGUGUUUACAGGUACAAAGAAAGAUGUGAAAUACAAAGAACUGACCUGCUUCUUUCCUGCUGCUUCUAGGGGUUGUCAGUACAAGCCCAAAGGCCCCUGUUCCCUGGCUUCACGCCGUCCAGUUCAGACGACAGGUCAGAAUCCCAGUGGCCAGGCUGGACAUGGAUCUGGUGGACCCAGCCCAGUCCCAGGGAAAACAGACUUUACUCCAGGUCAUGCUAACCCCUGGUUUGCCAUGGAGUUUCCUGGAAACCCCAAGGGAAACCCCAGCUGUUUCUACACAUCACACACACUCUCUCUCCUUACAUUGCCAUUGAUGGUACUGAGAAGCCCCCCAUAACCACGUCUAAUGUGGAAAGGGGCUGCUCAAUGCCAGCGAUGGGCAUGGCAAAGUAAGGAGCUUGCGUCGGUAGCGGGUCAUGGUUUGGCGCAGGGAUGGGCAUGUAAACCCCCCCCCCAUCCUUAUGCUGUCCCUGGGACUGACCCAAGUGAGCACCGGGACCAGAAUCGCACAGGAUCAGCCCCUGCUCUCCUGGCCCAUCUGCUCAGUGCCUAGGUUAGGACUCACUAAGAAUGGGAGGACAGGGGAAUUAGCAAUAGCAUUUACAUUUCUACCUGCAGGGAUCGAACUCACAACCUUGUGGCUGCAGGACUGCACCGCCAGGGCUCCUUCUUUGAGUCUUUCUUGGCAAAGUGAGUUGGCAUGGCUGUGUGGGACCUGAGCAGAGCAGCGGAGGAUAGGAACUCUUGGAGACGUCUCAUCCACAGGGUCACCGUGCAUCGGGGCCGACUCGAGGGUAGUUAACAGCAACAGCAUGCUAAGGUAGGACAGUAGCAAUAGCAUUUGCCUUUCUGUACUGCUUCAUAGUGAACUCAGUACAGUGCUCUUAGUGGUUGACAGCAUGUAAGCCAAUUGCCCCCAACAAGCUUGGGACUCAUUUUACUGACCUAUGAAAGGAUGGAAGGCUGAGGAGUCAACCUUGGAGCCCUGUGGGGAUCGAACUCACAACCUUGUGGCUGCAGUAUAGGCAUUUAACCAUUGCACCAGCAGGGCUCUGUUACACAUUGAUAACGGAUGGCAUAGGAUCUGAGAUGUUUUAUUAAUACAAUAACUGCCAGAUAGAACACAUAAUAUAUAAACCUUUCUCAGAGAGAUGAUCUCCCUUUAUAGAACACCCUGACAGCUCUCAGACAUUGAAUCCAGUGGCUCAAGACCUGGGUCUCUGGAAGACCGUCAUAUGCAAGGCCUCAUAUUAAUUCACCCUGUCAUUGUCAUUCAUUGCUGCUGCUUUCACUUUUAUAUCCUCUUCCAUCAGCAUCUUUUUUUGUCUCAUCUCUCUUUGUUUGUUACAUGAUUGCGUUGGAUUUGUUAAAUUGCUAGCUAUUAAAUUUGAAUCUAUCUCUCUA